GACGAACGCUGGCGGCGUGCCUAAUACAUGCAAGUAGAACGCUGAAGGAGGAGCUUGCUUCUCUGGAUGAGUUGCGAACGGGUGAGUAACGCGUAGGUAACCUGCCUGGUAGCGGGGGAUAACUAUUGGAAACGAUAGCUAAUACCGCAUAAGAGUAGAUGUUGCAUGACAUUUGCUUAAAAGGUGCAAUUGCAUCACUACCAGAUGGACCUGCGUUGUAUUAGGUAGUUGGUGGGGUAACGGCUCAACAAGGCGACGAUACAUAGCCGACCUGGGAGGGGUGACGGCCACAAUGGGAACGAGACACGGGCCAGACUGCCAAGGGAAGGAGCAGUAGGGAAUCUUCGGCAAUGGGCGGAAGUCUGAACGGGCAACGCCGCGUGAGUGGAGAAGGUUUUCGGAUCGUAAAGCUCUGUUGUAAGGGAAGAAAGAGUGUGGGAGUGGAAAGUUCACACUGUGACGGUAUCUAACCAGAAAGGGACGGCUAACUACGUG
rnacentral:rRNA from 1 species